rnacentral:rRNA from 1 species
CAACAGGGAUUCCCCUAGUAACGGCGAGUGAAGCGGGAACAGCUCAAAUUUGAAAUCUGGCCCUUGGGUCCGAGUUGUAAUUUGUAGAGGAUGCUUUUGGUGCGGUGCCUUCCGAGUUCCCUGGAACGGGACGCCUUAGAGGGUGAGAGCCCCGUACGGUUGGACGCCUAGCCUCUGUAAAGCUCCUUCGACGAGUCGAGUAGUUUGGGAAUGCUGCUCUAAAUGGGAGGUAUAUUUCUUCUAAAGCUAAAUACUGGCCAGAGACCGAUAGCGCACAAGUAGAGUGAUCGAAAGAUGAAAAGCACUUUGAAAAGAGGGUUAAAUAGCACGUGAAAUUGUUGAAAGGGAAGCGUUUAUCACCAGACUUUUUCUGGGGGGAUCAUCCGGUGUUCUCACCGGUGCACUUCCCCCAGUUGAGGCCAGCAUCGGUUUUCGGAGGGGGAUAAAAGUUUCGGGAAUGUGACUCCCUCGGGAGUGUUAUAGCCCGUUACAUAAUACCCUUCUGGGGACCGAGGUUCGCGCAUCUGCAAGGAUGCUGGCAUAAUGGUGAUCAACGACCCGUCUUGAAACACGGACCAAGGAGUCGAACAUUUAUGCGAGUGUUUGGGUGUUAAACCCUCACGCGUAAUGAAAGUGAACGGAGGUGAGAGCCCUUACGGGUGCAUCAUCGACCGAUCCUGAUGUCUUCGGAUGGAUUUGAGUAAGAGCAUAACUGUUCGGACCCGAAAGAUGGUGAACUAUGCGUGGAUAGGGUGAAGCCAGGAGAAAUCCUGGUGGAGGCUCGCAGCGGUUCUGACGUGCAAAUCGAUCGUCAAAUCUGCGCAUGGGGGCGAAAGACUA